rnacentral:lncRNA from 1 species
ACUUGACAAGCUGUUGUAUAGUGGGUGCAAUUUACUCUCUAGUUAUUAUGCAUCUAUGGAAUGUGACGGAUUUAUUUUCCAAAGAAAUAGUUAGAGAAACUAAUGAUGGUUUGCGCUAAUGGUGGUGCUAAUCAAUUUUUAAGGAGGCUAAUCUCAAGUCAAUAACUUUCAUUAACUAUUACCUCUUUGGCAUGUCAGCGCGUGCUUGGUAAUUGUCUUUGUCCUAUCAAGGCAUUAUGCAGAGAUAAAGAAAACAGUCAAAUAAUCGAUCUUAGUCCAAUGACAUUUUGACAUUUCAUUAUAUAUAGGAUACUCCCUUGUCA